UGAAUAGCUACUUAGCACAGGUCGACCUCUUGUCUUCCAUUUUCCGUAAACAAGCGCUGUAACAUGGCUAUAGGGCCGUGUGGGAACCAUAACAAGACACCCAGGAAGUAGACAGGGACUCCAGAUGAUGGCCAGGCCGAUACCACCAGCUCAGAGUACAGCGGGGAAGACGACCAGGAAGGCCCAGAACAGCAGGCAGCCUGUUGCAGACCCCUGCUAUACACAAUCCCGUACGUCAAUGAAUCUAUACAUCUAACACACAAACAUUCAAUUAAUUGUAAUACAAACAAAGUACAGAGUACAAUUGAACAAUGCACAGAGAACACAACAAUUGCUUUGAACAUGAUGGCAUCGUGCAUGUGUCAGCGUGUAACUUGUCAUAAAACAAUAGUAGACCCAUUACUCAAUACUGUCCUGACUGCUGUCAAGCAUUCCUAUCAAAAUCAUGCUCCUCACAAAAUGUACCAGCUGGCAAUAACCUUGUCCAACAGGAUUCAGUGCACAGAUAUGGAGAGUUUAUCUUGAUAGGCCGAUACAGGUCUGGCUCUUUUGAUGAGCAGCACAAUCUGCCCAGCGACAGUGACCCCAUAGAAAAGGUUGCUUAUGAAACCCACAUAGUUGAUAAGGGUAUACAGUGCCUUUGGAAAGUAUUCCGACCCCUUGACUUUUUCCACAGUUUAUGUUACAGCCUUAUUCUAAAAUGUAUAACUUUUUUUUUUUUUAAUCCUCAGCUAUCUGCACACAAUUUCCCUUAAUGACAAAGCGAAAACAGGUUUUUAGAAAUGUUUGCACAUUUAUUAAAAUAAAAA